GUCUGUGAAAUUCCGGGGNUUAACUUCGGGGUGGCAGGCGAUACGGGCAUAACUAGAGUGCUGUAGGGGAGACUGGAAUUCCUGGUGUAGCGGUGGAAUGCGCAGAUAUCAGGAGGAACACCGAUGGCGAAGGCAGGUCUCUGGGCAGUAACUGACGCUGAGGAGCGAAAGCAUGGGGAGCGAACAGGAUUAGAUACCCUGGUAGUCCAUGCUGUAAACGGUGGGCGUUAGGUGUGGGGACCGGUUUGGUUUCUGUGCCGUAGCUAACGCAUUAAGCGCCCCGCCUGGGGAGUACGGCCGCAAGGCUAAAACUCAAAGGAAUUGACGGGGGCCCGCACAAGCGGCGGAGCAUGUGGAUUAAUUCGAUGCAACGCGAAGAACCUUACCUGGGUUUGACAUGCACCAGACGGUUGUAGAGAUACGUACCUCCCUUUGUGGUUGGUGUGCAGGUGGUGCAUGGUUGUCGUCAGCUCGUGUCGUGAGAUGUUGGGUUAAGUCCCGCAACGAGCGCAACCCUUGUCUUAUGUUGCCAGCACGUUUAGGGUGGGGACUCAUGAGAGACUGCCGGGGCUAACUCGGAGGAAGGUGGGGAUGACGUCAAAUCAUCAUGCCCUUUAUGCCCAGGGCUUCACACAUGCUACAAUGGUUAGUACAACGCGCUGCGAACCUGUGAGGGUGAGCGAAUCGCUGAAAGCUAAUCUCAGUUCGGAUUGGGGUCUGCAACUCGACCCCAUGAAGUCGGAGUCGCUAGUAAUCGCAGAUCAGCAAUGCUGCGGUGAAUACGUUCCCGGGCCUUGUACACACCGCCCGUCACGUCAUGAAAGUUGGUAACACCCGAAGCCCAUGGCCUAACCACCGUUUGGUGG
rnacentral:rRNA from 1 species